GAUCGUAAACUGAUGUUGCUUCUUUGCUUUAUGCAGGAUGGUGGUAAUCUAUCUUAACUGAUGUUCUUGAUUGUUUCUGCCGAGUGGGUGAUCUUUUAGCUGUUGUCGAAUGGAUGGAGGAAAUUGUGGUUCAUUAUGCAUGUUCUUAGUUAUGUAAUUCUAAAAUUCACUGAACAUGAUGCUGAUGUUGUGAUGCAUCCUUUUGGAUUGUCAUAUGGGGUAGAAUUUUGUUGUGAUAUUGUAAAUUGUAAUGCUGUGAUGCUAAUACUGUGACCGUUUGUUUGGAUUAUUUGGAUUGUCAUUUGUCAUAUGGGGUUGAAUUUUGCUCUGAAAAAUCCUGUGAUGCUAAUACUGUAACCAGGUUUGCUUCUCAGGUUUGAUUGUUUAUGAAUAGCAAUUGCAACAGUGUUCAC
rnacentral:lncRNA from 1 species